AUUAGCAAAGUCAACAGCCCCUCUAACACACUGAAGAGGAAAGAACAGUCAAUAAUGUAAGCAAAACUAUUAUUGUGGACUAACUUAACAGCCCCUCUAAAUUGAAUGAAUCUAUAGUCAAGAUUUUCACUUUUUUGUUUAAAAAAAUAUUUUUUGUACUAACUUAUAGGACUUGACGCUUUCUCAAAUUAGAUGAGCAAUAAUUUAAUGUUUGGAAUAACUUAAGUGUUCUUCCCAGGGCAGAUGAUUCUAUAUAUGUCUUAUGUUAUCAGUAUAUCUUUGCCUGUAUGCCUGAGCAUCUGAUAAAUAGUUGCUAAAGUAACUAUUUAGAACUAAUUUUAAAUAUAGGGUCUAUCCUGCUAAAAGUAGAUACUAUGUAAAUACAUUUUAUUUUCAGGGCAGGUGGAAGGAGGAAGUGAAAGAUUAUAGAGCAGCAUUAUCCUAGAAUUAGCAAAGUGUCAGGCAAACCAGCACUUCUUGUAAAAAUCCAUAAGGGAGCCGUCUCCUUUUCACUGGUCCUCGGCAGAUGAACAAUCCCAGGAAGAGUAUUUAACCUGGCUGCUCUCCCUCGCUACACCUCGACGGAUCUUCUGUCCUGCUCCCAGAAGUCCAAAGGUGAAAAAGGGU